CGAUGGAUCAUUACGCUGUUUUUUUCUUUUAAACCUUACUUUUGAGCUUUUUUGCACAAAAAAAGCUUUUUACUUGUUUCUCACCUUUGAUUACGCGUAUGCGUGCAGAGCUUUUUUCGUCCACUCUAAAUUUUGGCUGCAAUGGUGCGAGCGAAGAGAGUUAUUUUUUUCUCUCUCUUUUAUUAGCAUAGUGCAGUUUUUUUAGACUUUCGGGAAAUUUGGUUUAGGCACGCAUUCGUCAAAGUAGUUCAGUGGAAUGUGGCGCAAAGAUGUCACGUGCCUGCUAUGUAGUAAUCAAAAGGUGUUGGAAUCAUAAUACCCAAGUUUUUUUUAUCGCAUACUUUUUAUGUAAAUUGCCCAUUCUAACGUCUUUUUUUUUUUUUUCUUUUUUCUUUUUAGCUUUAAUUUUCUUGGCGAAAAAAUAAAGCGAGAAAUGAAAAGAAAAAAAAAAAAAGAAAAAAAAAGAUGUUAGUUGACCUAAUUUCUUUCUAACACAGUGCGUGAAGUAAACACAACAAGGAAAAAAGUACUGACAGCAGUCUUGUAUUUUCUUUUUCUUCGUUUCUUUUGCCUGUGGGAAAAAGAUUACGAAUCUAUUGCUGGUUGAGCGAUGGAUCUCUCGGUUCCUUGCAUCGUUGAAGGUCGCAGCGAAUUGCGGAAAUGCAGGUCGUGUGAAUUGCAAGAUACAUUGGCCCUUUUCGGGCUGCGGAACACCUUACUUACUGAACGUAUUCGACACUCUGCAGUUUCCCUUUUUGGGGAUUGCAGUGCGCUUGGUUGAGUGUUCAUUGCAAUCUACAGAUUUCGCAUCUUAUGUGCGCACACGCAUACGUGUGCACACAUAUAGCAUGCUUAAUCCACAGAGAUUACAAACUCUUCCAAAUCUAGCGUUUAAACGUAGCAGUUUUGCUGCGUGCGGCUAAUUCAAUACACUUUUUUGUGUGUUUGCUUUUAGCUCGCAUUGUUAUAGAGGAAAAAAAAAAAAAAGAAAGCAUGCGUUUGCUUCUUUUUUGCUUUGUGUGUUUUCACACAGAGACUCUUUCGCGAGAGACUUUUCUGUGUGCAACCAUACGCAACUUGUUUUGCUUUUGUGUUGCGUACAAUAUGAAAGGAUUUUUCUGAAAGCAGUUUUUUAGCGAAAAAGGCCAAAGCGAUGGGUGAUUUUUCUUUUGCUUUUUUUCCUCGUCGCUUCAAUGUUCAUCAGCUCAAGCGAGAUUACGCGCUAAAUUUAAGCAUAUUAAUCAGCGCAGCGUAAAAAUAGAAACUAACCAGGAUUCCCUCAGUAACGGCGAGUGAAGUGGGAAAAAACUGUAUACGAAUGAGUCUUCGGACAACUUCGUUUUAGCCCGUUAGUAUAAUCCGUUGUCUUUUACACCUUCGGGUGUUUAAGCAAGGAAUUGUAGCAUGGCAUUUUCAGGCUUUUUUUUUUUUCUCUCGCUAAAUUUUUGCCGCAUUUUUUUUUUCUUUGCAUAUUGUUGUAACACACACUUUGCAUUUUAGAAAAAACUUUGUGUGCGGCAAAUUGUGCGAGAAAAAAAAAAAAAAAAAAAAAAGCCUUUUUUUUUCUUUGCUCCAAUAGUGCACAUUAAGUCUAGCUUUGCGCUGGAAUGCUUCAUGUGUAUAUCACCGCCCUAGAGUGUGACAGCCACGUUAGCACUCUUUGGAGUUCAUAUUCGAACAGCCACUUUGAUUCUGAGUCGAGUUGUUUGGGACUACAGCUCAAAUAGUUAGGUGGUGGUAAUGACACAUCAAAGGCUAAAUAUUUGUGAUUUGUUAUAUUGCAACGGAAACCGAUAGCAAACAAGUACCGUAAGGGAACGAUGAAAAGCACCCUUCAAGCACGCACGUUGUGACAUUGGUCUUCGGAUCUUUGUCUUAAACGUGCAAGCUCCAAAGGGAGUGAAAGAGAGAGUGAAAUCGCCUAACAGCUUUUUCGUUGUUAGCGUAAAAAAAAAAAAAAAACAAAAAAAAAAAAAAAAAACACAAAUUCGCAUAUUUUUUUUGUUUUCUCGCUCGCAUGUUACACGCAAGCUUUGUGAGAGGGAAAAAAAAAAAAUGCGAUAUAUUUUUUUUUUCUUUUUCUUUUUUUUCUUUUUAACUUCGCUUACAAAUUCAGCGAAAUACAACCGGACAGAGCAGCUCUGUACUUUGGUACAUAGCGGACUGCGGCGUACAUUUUACGCCGUGUGUUUUGCUAGAGAAAGCUGCAACUGUUCGAUCCGUCUUGAAACACGGACCAAGGAGUUCAACUGGAGUGUAAGUCGUAGCAAUUUUCUUUGUGAAAUGCAUACGGCGCAGCGAAAGCAACUUGGUGAGACGUUGGUUUUUUCUAAAACUUACUGCAUCACCGGCCCAUUACGAACAUAUGCUCUAUUACAGGACAUAUGCUUUUUUACUUUUUAGCAAUAAAAAGUUCAAAAGAGUAAUGGAGCUUUUGAACACUUUUGUUGAGACCCGAAAGAUGGUGAACUAUGCUCGGACAUGGUGAAGCCAGGUGAAAAACUUGGUGGAAGCUUGCGUUGUGCGGAACUGACGUGCAAAUCGUUGCCGCCUGAUCUGAGUAUAGGGGCGAAAGACUCAUCGAACCAUCUAGUAGCUGGUUCCCUC
rnacentral:misc_RNA from 1 species